rnacentral:rRNA from 1 species
UACGGAGGGAGCAAGCGUUACUCGGAAUUAUUGGGCGUAAAGGGCGCGUAGGCGAUUUGAAAAGUCUUGUGUGAAAGCCCCGAGCUUAACUCGGGAAGUGCACAAGAAACUGUUGAAUUUGAGUUCCGGAGAGGAAGGCAGAAUUCCCGGUGUAGCGGUGAAAUGCGUAGAUAUCGGGAGGAAUACCAGUGGCGAAGGCGGCCUCCUGGACGGAUACUGACGCUGAGGCGCGAAAGCCAGGGGAGCAAACGGG